AGAGUUUGAUCCUGGCUCAGGACGAACGCUGGCGGCAUGUCUAAGGCAUGCAAGUCGGACGAUGCUACGUUUUUCGCAAGAGAGACGUGGGAGAGUGGCGAACGGGAGAGUAACACAUUGGUAAUCUACCCUGGACUCGGGCACAACAGGCCGAAAGGCCUGCUAAUUCCCGAUGGUCAUGAGGGGCCGCAAGGCAUUCUCAUGUAAAGGUCCGCCGGUCCGGGAGGAGCCUAUGGCCCAUCAGCUAGUUGGUAGGGUAACGGCCUACCAAGGCUACGACGGGUAGGGGGCGUGAGAGCGUGUACCCCCUCACUGGGACUGAGACACUGCCCAGACUCCUACGGGAGGCUGCAGUCGAGAAUCUUCCACAAUGGGCGCAAGCCUGAUGGAGCAGUGCCGCGUGCAGGAAGACGCCCCUCGGGGUGUAAACUGCUUUUGUCGGGGACGAAU
rnacentral:rRNA from 1 species